rfam:Myotis brandtii contig246022, whole genome shotgun sequence.
GGGCGUUCUCUGGUGAUAUACCCCAGAAUUGGGCUCCCUCCUCUCUGGUUCUGGGUGCGUCACCCGAGAACCACA